UACGGGGGGAGCAAGCGUUGUUCGGAUUUACUGGGCGUAAAGGGCGCGUAGGCGGUCAGCACAAGUCAGUUGUGAAAUCUCCGAGCUUAACUCGGAAAGGUCAACUGAUACUGUGCGACUAGAGUGCAGAAGAGGCGAGUGGAAUUCCUGGUGUAGCGGUGAAAUGCGCAGAUAUCAGGAGGAACACCAAUAGCGAAGGCAGCUCGCUGGGACGGUACUGACGCUGAGACGCGAAAGCGUGGGGAGCAAACAGG
rnacentral:rRNA from 1 species